rnacentral:rRNA from 1 species
ACGAACACUGGCGGCGUGCUUAACACAUGCAAGUCGAACGGAAAGGCCCUGCUUUUGUGGGGUGCUCGAGUGGCGAACGGGUGAGUAACACGUGAGUAACCUGCCCUUGACUUUGGAAUAACUUCAGGAAACUGGGGCUAAUACCGGAUAGGAGCUCCUGCUGCAUGGUGGGGGUUGGAAAGUUUCGGCGGUUGGGGAUGGACUCGCGGCUUAUCAGCUUGUUGGUGGGGUAGUGGCUUACCAAGGCUUUGACGGGUAGCCGGCCUGAGAGGGUGACCGGCCACAUUGGGACUGAGAUACGGCCCAGACUCCUACGGGAGGCAGCAGUGGGGAAUAUUGCACAAUGGGCGGAAGCCUGAUGCAGCAACGCCGCGUGCGGGAUGACGGCCUUCGGGUUGUAAACCGCUUUCGCCUGUGACGAAGCGUGAGUGACGGUAAUGGGUAAAGAAGCACCGGCUAACUACGUG